UACGUAGGGUGCGAGCGUUGUCCGGAAUUAUUGGGCGUAAAGAGCUUGUAGGCGGUUUGUCGCGUCUGCUGUGAAAGUCCAGGGCUCAACCCUGGGAUGCCGGUCGAUACUGCCGGACUAGAGUUCGGAAGAGGCGAGUGGAAUUCCCGGUGUAGCGGUGAAAUGCGCAGAUAUCGGGAAGAACACCCGUGGCGAAGGCGGCUCUCUGGGACGGUACUGACGCUGAGACGCGAAAGCGUGGGGAGCGAACAGG
rnacentral:rRNA from 1 species